GACGAACGCUGGCGGCGUGCUUAACACAUGCAAGUCGAACGAUGAAGCCGGAGCUUGCUCUGGUGAAUUAGUGGCGAACGGGUGAGUAACACGUGAGUAACCUGCCCUUGACUCUGGGAUAACUGCUAGAAAUGGUAGCUAAUACCGGAUACGACCCUCGGAGGCAUCUCCAGGGGGUGGAAAGAAUUUCGGUCAAGGAUGGACUCGCGGCCUAUCAGCUAGUUGGUGAGGUAACGGCUCACCAAGGCGACGACGGGUAGCCGGCCUGAGAGGGUGACCCGCCACACUGGGCCUGAGACACGGCCCAGACUCCUACGGGAGGCAGCAGUGGGAAUAUUGCACAAUGGGCGCAAGCCUGAUGCAGCAACGCCGCGUGAGGGAUGACGGCCUUCGGGUUGUAAACCUCUUUUAGUAGGGAAGAAGCGAAAGUGACGGUACCUGCAGAAAAAGCACCGGCUAACUACGUGCCAGCCGCCGCAGUAA
rnacentral:rRNA from 1 species